rnacentral:rRNA from 1 species
AGGGUUCGAUUCUGGCUCAGAACGAACGCUGGCGGCAUGGAUUAGGCAUGCAAGUCGAACGGUGAAGCGGGGCAACCUGCUGAACAGUGGCGCAAGGGUGAGGAACACGUGAGUAAUCUGCCCUCAAGUUUGGAAUAGCUCCUGGAAACGGGAAUUAAUACCGGAUGACAACAUGGGACCGCAUGGUUUUAUGUUCAAAGCAGCGAUGCGCUUGAGGAGGAGCUCGCGUCCCAUUAGCUAGUUGGUGAGGUAACGGCCCACCAAGGCCAUGAUGGGUAGCUGGUCUGAGAGGACGAUCAGCCACAGUGGGACUGAGAACUGCCCACACUCCUACGGGAGGCUGCAGUCGAGAAUUUUGGGCAAUGGGCGAAAGCCUGACCCAGCCAAUGCCGCGUGCGGGAUGACGGUCUUCGGAUUGUAAACCGCUGUCAAGAGGGACGAAACAUGACGGUACCUCUGAAGGAAGCCACGGCUAACUACGUGCCAGCCGCAGC